GACGAGAAGCUUGCUUCUCUGAUGUUAGCGGCGGACGGGUGAGUAACACGUGGAUAACCUACCUAUAAGACUGGGAUAACUUCGGGAAACCGGAGCUAAUACCGGAUGAUAUUUUGAACCGCAUGGUUCAAAAGUGAAAGACGGUCUUGCUGUCACUUAUAGAUGGAUCCGCGCUGCAUUAGCUAGUUGGUAAGGUAACGGCUUACCAAGGCAACGAUGCAUAGCCGACCUGAGAGGGUGAUCGGCCACACUGGAACUGAGACACGGUCCAGACUCCUACGGGAGGCAGCAGUAGGGAAUCUUCCGCAAUGGGCGAAAGCCUGACGGAGCAACGCCGCGUGAGUGAUGAAGGUCUUCGGAUCGUAAAACUCUGUUAUUAGGGAAGAACAUAUGUGUAAGUAACUGUGCACAUCUUGACGGUACCUAAUCAGAAAGCCACGGCUAACUACGUGCCAGCAGCCGCGGUAAUACGUGGGUGGCAAGCGUUAUCCGGAAUUAUUGGGCGUAAAGCGCGCGUAGGCGGUUUUUUAAGUCUGAUGUGAAAGCCCACGGCUCAACCGUGGAGGGUCAUUGGAAACUGGAAAACUUGAGUGCAGAAGAGGAAAGUGGAAUUCCAUGUGUAGCGGUGAAAUGCGCAGAGAUAUGGAGGAACACCAGUGGCGAAGGCGACUUUCUGGUC
rnacentral:rRNA from 1 species